GAGAGCACAGUACGAUGAAAGUUGUAAGCUGUGUUCGGGGGGGAGUUAUAGUCUAUCGUUGGCCUCUAUGGUAGAACCUGUCGGGGAGGCCUGAGAGGCGGUGGUUUACCCUGU
rnacentral:ncRNA from 1 species